UUCUUCGGGGCAGGGUGAGAUUCCCUACCGGCGGUUACAGCCCGCGAACCCGCAAGGCUUUUGCCUUCGGGCCGAUUCGGUGAAAUUCCGAAGCCGACGGUGAACGGCGUUCGCGCCGCAGUCCGGAUGAUAGAAGA
rnacentral:ncRNA from 1 species